rnacentral:rRNA from 1 species
UACGUAGGGGGCAAGCGUUGUCCGGAAUUAUUGGGCGUAAAGAGCUCGUAGGCGGCUUGUCGCGUCGGAUGUGAAAGCCCGGGGCUUAACCCCGGGUCUGCAUUCGAUACGGGCAGGCGUAGAGUUCGGUAGGGGAGAUCGGAAGUUCCUGGAUGUAGCGGUGAAAGUGACGCAGACUAUCAGGAGGAACACCGGUGGCGAAGGCGGAUCUCUGGGCCGAUACUGACGCUGAGGAGCGAAAGCGUGGGGAGCGAACAGG